GAACACUAACCGGCCCAUCUCGAAGAGAGCGAUUAAUACAUAAAAACUGGCGUUUCAAAAACCGCAGAAAGUCGCCGCGCAGUAAUCUGCAACAAUAAUGGGAGAAGCCUUGAAAGAGAACAUAAUGGAGUCAGUAAGAUCAGUUGUUUUCAAAGAAUCAGAAAAUCUUGAAGGUUCUUGCCAAAAAAUCGAAGGCUAUGAUUUCAAUAAAGGAGUUAACUAUGCUCAGCUUUUCAAGUCUAUGGUUUCCACUGGUUUCCAAGCUUCUAAUCUUGGUGACGCCAUUCAAAUUGUUAAUCAAAUGCUAGAUUGGAGGCUUUCACAUGAGCUACCCACGGAGGAUUGCAGUGAAGAAGAAAGAGAUGUUGUAUACAGAGAGUCGGUGACCUGCAAAAUCUUUUUGGGUUUCACUUCAAACCUUGUUUCUUCUGGAGUUAGAGACACUGUCCGCUACCUUGUUCAGCACCGUAUGGUUGAUGUUGUUGUUACUACAGCUGGUGGUAUUGAGGAAGAUCUCAUAAAAUGCCUCGCACCAACCUACAAGGGGGACUUUUCUUUACCUGGAGCUGUUCUACGCUCGAAAGGAUUGAACCGUAUUGGUAACUUAUUGGUUCCUAAUGACAACUACUGCAAAUUUGAGAAUUGGAUCAUCCCAAUUUUCGACCAAAUGUAUGAGGAGCAGAUUAAUGAGAAGGUUCUGUGGACACCAUCCAAGGUCAUUGCUCGCCUGGGUAAAGAAAUUAAUGAUGAGACCUCAUACUUGUAUUGGGCUUACAAGAACCGGAUUCCUGUCUUCUGCCCUGGCUUAACCGAUGGAUCACUGGGUGACAUGCUAUACUUCCAUUCUUUCAAAAAGGGAGAUCCAGAUAAUCCAGAUCUUAAUCCUGGUCUAGUCAUAGACAUUGUAGGAGAUAUCAGGGCCGUGAAUAGUGAAGCUGUCCAUGCUGGUUCGAGGAAGACGGGAAUGAUUAUCCUGGGUGGAGGGCUGCCUAAGCACCAUGUUUGCAAUGCCAAUAUGAUGCGCAAUGGAGCAGAUUUUGCUGUCUACAUUAACACUGCACAAGAGUUUGAUGGUAGUGACUCCGGUGCCCGUCCUGAUGAAGCUGUAUCAUGGGGAAAGAUACGGGGUGGUGCCAAGACCGUUAAGGGAAAAAGGUUUGUCCACGAGAUUAAGAGGAGGUGAAGUUUCAAGAGGAAAUAUCACAAAAUUCUUGAGGAGAGGGAAGUGCUAAAAGUGGCAAAAGUUUCAGAGAGAAUAUGCACUUUGCUCAACCUGACAAAUAAUUUAUUUGUUAAAUUUUUUAUGUUUUUCUGGCUGGGAUUGAAUUUAGGGUAACAGAAAUCGAUACACGAAUAAGGUGCAUUGUGAUGCCACAAUUGCAUUUCCCAUAUUAGUAGCUGAGACAUUUGCAGCUAAGAGUAAGGAAUUCUCCCAGAUAAGGUGCCAAGUUUGAACAUUGAGGAAGCUGUCCUUCCAACCACAUAUGAGUUGCUAACUUUUGAAGCCAACUUGUUAGUGUGCAGCACCAUACAUUCAUGUACCCUGAGUAAGAGAUCCUGUUUGGUUCAAAUAAAUUAUUUUUUCUCCCAUUCCCACCAUGUUUUGGGAAGGAGCCAUAUUUAGUUCUCUCCCUGGUCUUAAGUGGAGAGCUCAGAUGUGCAUAGGUUUGAAUCAUGUUGUAUCAAAGAUUAUGAGUUUUAGACGUUGGUGAUAACUGAUUAGACCUUUUACGAUAUAGAUGAUCCUUGUAAUAUGAGAUUUAAAGAUUUUAUUGAUUACUGACACAUUUCUUUUUA